GGUUCUAGGCUGGUACUAGUCUGGGGUCUGUUAGGAACAGGGCUGCACAGCAGGAGAUUAGUGGCAGGCGAGUAAGUCUAUGGAAAAAUUGUCUUCCAAGAUACCAGUCCCUGGUGCCAAAAUAAUUGGGGGCCACUGCCCUUUAGGGCGGUCCAAGGGCAGACCCCACCCCGAUAUCCUCUGCCUUAGCUCCUCUCUGAAGUAACUAGAUGAUAGUAUCUUAUGUAUAUUUCCAGAGUUUUUUCAGAUGCUAACAGCCACCACCAAAUGGAAGAAAUUAACUACUUGAUGAUCAGGAGCAUUUAGCCCCCAGGCCUUCUGAUGCCUAAGGAUUGCUCACGUUACUUCAGCCAAUCAGAGAACUGUGCAUGAGUGGAUUGCUUAUCAUGUAGCCCCCCUCCCUCACCAGGCCUUUCAAAAUACUUUGCUGAAACCUUCUGGGGAGUUGGGGGUUUGGGGGGCAAGAAAGAAAGUGAAGUCGCUCAGUGGUGUCCGACUCUUUGCGACCCCGUGGACUGUAGCCUACCAGGCUUCUCCAUCCAUAGGAUUCUCCAGGCAAGAAUACUGGAGUGGGUUACUGUUUCCUUCUCCAGAGGAUCUUCCUGACCCAAGGAUUGAACCCAGGUCUCCUGCAUUGGAGGCAGACACUUUAACCACUGAGCCACCAGGGAGCGACCCAUUUUCCUUGCAUGGCCUGCAGUAAGCCUUUCUCUGUUCCAAACACCAACAUUUCAGUACUGUUUGGCCUCACUGUGCCAUCAGGCACAAGGACUUGGCCUUUGGGAACAAGAGAAACAGAGGCCUGAGCCCCUUUCCAGAAGAUUUCCCAGCUGAGCUGAUUGGCUGUGGCAUUAGUCCAGGUAACCAAGUACCCUUUCCACGCAGAAGCAGCAGACCCAGAGUCAUAGCCAAGCACAAGCACAUACGUCUUUCACAGAGCACUGCGCUCUCUCAGGGCCGAGUCUCACCUUGGAGGUUGAUGAUGCUCCGAAGUCACGGGGAGCUGGAGCCCAUCUCCACCGACAGCCGUCUGGCUUUUGGAUUCCAGUCACAUUCUUCACCAGCCGAAGGGAGUGCUCAAGAGAUAUGUAGCCUCACUUGUCUGGCAUCUUAUCCAAGAAGACUUCCUUUUCUCUGGUUCCCUGUGGAAUGCAUAUUAAGCCAUUGGAGAGAGAAGAGUGGACAAAUGUGAGGGCACGAUGGUUUUUGAGUGUCGGCCUUGGCGCGGCUGUCGAGAUCGAGAGAUACUGCAGUUUGUUCAUCGCGGGAAGGGUGUUUCCCAGGAUGGUUAAAGAGAAAAUUGCACUGAUGAAAGAAUAUAUUCAGUCAAAAUAAAAUAAUUCUCUGGAAAUGAAGAUUUCUCCCGUUGACCUGCAUUGUGUGUGUGUGUGUAUUUUUAAACAAAUUUUCAACUCUUUUUUAUUUUUAUUUUUUGUAACAACUGCCAGGAAAAAAAUUUAAACCUUGACUUUGAUGUUUUGAACUUUCCGAGUAAGUUGAUGUAUGUACAUCAUGAUUAAAGACCAAACACUGGCUAAUACCUACCUGGUAAAAACCGAUGGCAAAUUAAUUAAACAG
ensembl:lncRNA